rnacentral:rRNA from 1 species
AUUGAACGCUGGCGGCAUGCUUUACACAUGCAAGUCGGACGGCAGCGCGGGCUUCGGCCUGGCGGCGAGUGGCGAACGGGUGAGUAAUACAUCGGAACGUGCCCAGUAGUGGGAGAUAGCUCGGCGAAAGCCGGAUUAAUACCGCAUACGACCUGAGGGUGAAAGCGGGGGACUUUAGGGCCUCGCGCUAUUGGAGCGGCCGAUGGCAGAUUAGCUAGUUGGUGGGGUAAAGGCCUACCACGGCGACGAUCUGUAGCUGGUCUGAGAGGACGACCAGCCACACUGGGACUGAGACACGGCCCAGACUCCUACGGGAGGCAGCAGUGGGGAAUUUUGGACAAUGGGCGCAAGCCUGAUCCAGCAAUGCCGCGUGUGUGAUGAAGGCCUUCGGGUUGUAAAGCACUUUUGGCAGGAACGAAAAGUGCCGUGCUAAUACCACGGUACGAUGACGGUACCUGCAGAAUAAGCACCGGCUAACUACGUG